UCAGUCGGUAGAGCGACGGACUGUUAAUCCGCAGGUCCCUGGUUCGAGCCCAGGUGGGAGAGCCA
rnacentral:tRNA from 1 species